rnacentral:rRNA from 1 species
UACGUAGGUGGCGAGCGUUGUCCGGAUUUACUGGGCGUAAAGGGAGCGUAGGCGGACUUUUAAGUGAGAUGUGAAAUAACCCGGGCCGUCAACUUGGGUUGGCUGCAUUUCUAAACUAGGAAGGUCUAGAGUGCAGGAGAGGAGAAUGGAAUUCCUAGUGUAGCGGUGAAAUAGCGUAGAGAUUAGGAAGGAACACCAGUGGCGAAGGCGGAUUCUCUGGACUGUAACUGACGCUGAGGCUCGAAAGCGUGGGGAGGCAAACAGGAUUAGAUACCCU